rnacentral:rRNA from 1 species
AUUGAACGCUGGCGGCAGGCCUAACACAUGCAAGUCGAACGAGUGGCGGACGGGUGAGUAAUGUCUGGGAAACUGCCUGAUGGAGGGGGAUAACUACUGGAAACGGUAGCUAAUACCGCAUACCAUCAGAUGUGUCCAGAUGUGAUUAGAUGGUUGGUGGGGUAACGGCUCACCAAGUCGACGAUCCCUAGCUGGUCUGAGAGGAUGACCAGCCACACUUGAACUGAGACACGGUCCAGACUCCUACGGGAGGCAGCAUUGGGGAAUAUUGCACAAUGGGCGCAAGCCAGAUGCGGCCAUGCCGCGUGUAUGAAGAAGGCCUUCGGGUUGUAAAGUACUUUCAGCGGGGAGGCGUUACCUACAGAAGAAGCACCGGCUAACUCCGUGCCAGCAGCCGCGGUAAUUC